AACUCUGGACCGGAAAGACUCUGGGACACAGUCUCCUUCUUCAACCUCAGUCAAUUACAGUCAUUUCGCAGUUGGGUGGUCAAUCACUAAGUCUUUCUUGCCUUUAUUCCCUGAGCUCAGGCAGGAUUUUAAAUUUCAAGAGAAUUAAAAUAAGAAACCCACAUGGCUUGCUUUGCGUUACUAGGAAAGAAAAGGUGUAAUAGCCUUUGAUGUAUUUUUUUGUUUUUAUUUUUGUUUUUUGAGACUGGUUCUCACUACGUGAUCCUAGCUGUCCUGGAACUUGCUAAAUAGACCAGGCUGGCCUCUAAGAGAGAUCCACCUGCCUAAUGCUGGGGUUGAAGGUGUACACCACCACACAGGGUCUUUGGGAUUCUUUAAAACUCUGACUUUGUGGAGAGGGACACUGAAAAGGGUGCAGGGACAACCUCCGGGUUCUCCUAGGUUCUCCUCCCUCCCAAGUUUGGAUUCCAGCCUACAUCUUACAUGGGUUGUAUAAGAAAGGCUAUAGAGUUGAGUGAAGAGUAAAGGGAAGAAUUCAUUGUGAACGUUCACAGUCUUUUGUUUUGUUUGUUUUUUGAAACAGGGUUCAAAAUACUGAGCGUAGGGAUUUCUGAGUUCCAGGACAGCCAGGGCUACACAGAGAAGCCCUGUCUCAGGAAAAAUCAAAAGAAAGAAAGAAAGAAAGAAAGAAAGAAAGAGAGAGAGAGAGAGAGAG
rnacentral:lncRNA from 1 species